UACGGAGGGUGCGAACGUUAAUCGGAAUCACUGGCGUAAAGCGCGCGUAGGCGGUCUGUUAAGUGGGAUGUGAAAGUCCCCGGGCUUAACCUGGGAAUUGCAUUUCAAACUGGCCGACUAGAGUACGGUAGAGGGAGGUAGAAUUCCUGUGUAGCGGUGAAAUGCGCAGAUAUCAGGAGGAAUACCAGCGGCGAAGGCGGCGCUCUGGGCCGGUACUGACGCUGAGGAGCGAAAGCGUGGGGAGCAAACAGG
rnacentral:rRNA from 1 species